UUGUCACUAUCAACAAGGAUGAACUGAAUCAUGUUGGCGCUGCCAUUUACCGCAAACCCACUUCCAAUGAAUGCUACGACAACCGGGAGAAAAACCAACCUCCAAUGUGCAAGGAUGAUGACGAUUCAAAUGCUGCCUGGUAAAUCUCUAUUAUUGGCAAAUGAACAAAAUGACUGUUUGACAUGUUCUAAAGACUAAAAUAAAAAUAGUACAUGUUUGGAAGUCCUUCCAAAAUUGAUUCUAAAAUCAAUUUCGAAAAUAAGUUUUUGUGUAACUUCUGAGAUUCAAAAAUUAAUUACGACAAAAAGGAAGUUGAUCCAAACAUGUUAGUAGUUGAUUUAGAAGGAAAAUACAUCAUAACAGUACUUCUAAUUUGGAUUGACCAAAUGUAUUGUAUUACAGGUAUGUACCUCUGCAAGCGUGCAUGCAUAGAGUGCCUGAAAACCAGGCUGAGAGAGGGGCCAAGUGGCCUGAAGUUUGGCCUCGUCGAGUGAAGAAAGCCCCGUAUUGGUUAAACAGCUCAGAGGUUGGGAUCUAUGGAAAACCAGCUCCUCAAGAUUUUACAGCAGACACUGAACGUUGGAGAAACAUUGUGGAUGAGUUGAGUAACAUUGGAAUAACUUGGUCUAAUGUGAGAAAUAUCAUGGACAUGCGAGCUGUCUAUGGGGGGUAUUGCCUUCAACUUGGAGAACAACUAUCAUAGAUUAGAACUUAAUAUGCAAUACUUAGUUUUUGUAAUACUUAGCCAUCUGCGUGCAGAUUUGCAGCAGCUCUGAGGGAACUUCCUGUUUGGGUAUUCAAUGUUGUGAACAUAGAUGCUCCGGAUACACUU
rnacentral:lncRNA from 1 species